GGACUGGGCGGCGUCUGUGGCGGCCGUGAUUAAGAGGUUGGAUAACAUUUCAUUUCUGCUAUUUUCCACUCGUUUUUGCUGCUCAAACAUGUCUCUACACAGAGGAUUUGGUAAGGAGAAUCAAAGUUCACGAGGGAAUGUGAGCAG